rnacentral:rRNA from 1 species
CGAAGGACCAGAGAGACAAGGCCCACUUUANCCAGAAGCGCCUUCAAGAAUCAACAGAUGACACAAUCUCAAUCUGACUUCAACAAAUAUAUUCCCCAAAAUCAGGGCCC